rnacentral:rRNA from 1 species
GCCCCAGUUCGGAUUGCAGGCUGCAACCCGCCUGCAUGAAGCCGGAAUCGCUAGUAAUCGCGGAUCAGAAUGCCGCGGUGAAUACGUUCCCGGGUCUUGUACACACCGCCCGUCACACCAUGGGAGCCGGGAAUGCCCGAAGUCAGUGGCCCAACCGAAAGGGGGGAGCUGCCGAAGGCAGGCCUGGUGACUGGGGUGAAGUCGUAACAAGGUAGC